GUUGUAUAGUUAAGUAACUAAGCGUACAAGGUGGAUGCCUUGGCAAUCAGAGGCGAAGAAGGACGUGCUAAUCUGCGAAAAGCUUGGAUGAGUCGAUAAGAGGCGUUUAAUCCAAGAUAUCCGAAUGGGGAAACCCAGUAGAUGAAGAAUCUACUAUCAACAAGUGAAUUCAUAGCUUGUUGAGGCAAACCGGGAGAACUGAAACAUCUAAGUACCCCGAGGAAAAGAAAUCAACCGAGAUUUCGUCAGUAGCGGCGAGCGAAAGCGAAAGAGCCAGUAAGUGAUAGCAGUAUAGUGAGGAGAAUGUGUUGGGAAGCACAAUCAAAGAGGGUGAUAAUCCCGUAUCUAAAAACCAUAUUGUGGUACUAAGCUAACGAGAAGUAGGGCGGGACACGUGAUAUCCUGUUUGAAGAAGGGGGGACCAUCCUCCAAGGCUAAAUACUCCUGAUUGACUGAUAGUGAACCAGUACUGUGAAGGAAAGGCGAAAAGAACCCCGGUGAGGGGAGUGAAAUAGAACCUGAAACCUUGUACGUACAAGCAGUGGGAGCCCCAUCACUUAAUCCGAUUGGAAGGUGAUGAAAAGCAACCGCACUUAAACAAUGGUAAGAGGAGCGAAGCGAGUCAAACCACCCAAAAGAAGCAGUGGGAUUAAGUGAUGGGGUGACUGCGUACCUUUUGUAUAAUGGGUCAGCGACUUAUAUUUUGUAGCGAGGUUAACUGAAUAGGGGAGCCGAAGGGAAACCGAGUCUUAACUGGGCGAGUAGUUGCAAGGUAUAGACCCGAAACCCGGUGAUCUAGCCAUGGGCAGGUUGAAGGUUGGGUAACACUAACUGGAGGACCGAACCGACUAAUGUUGAAAAAUUAGCGGAUGACUUGUGGCUGGGGGUGAAAGGCCAAUCAAACCGGGAGAUAGCUGGUUCUCCCCGAAAUCUAUUUAGGUAGAGCCUUGAGGUGACACCUUUGGGGGUAGAGCACUGUUUCGGCUAGGGGGCCAUCCCGGCUUACCAACCCGAUGCAAACUACGAAUACCAAAGAGUGAUACUCAGGAGACACACGGCGGGUGCUAACGUCCGUCGUGGAGAGGGAAACAACCCAGACCGCCAGCUAAGGUCCCCAAGUCUAUAUUAAGUGGGAAACGAAGUGGGAAGGCUUAGACAGCUAGGAUGUUGGCUUAGAAGCAGCCAUCAUUUAAAGAAAGCGUAAUAGCUCACUAGUCGAGUCGGCCUGCGCGGAAGAUGUAACGGGGCUGAAAUAUAGCACCGAAGCUGCGGCAUCAGAAUUUAUUCUGUUGGGUAGGGGAGCGUUGUGUAAGCGGAAGAAGGUUCAUCGAGAGGUGGGCUGGACGUAUCACAAGUGCGAAUGCUGACAUAAGUAACGAUAAAACGGGUGAAAAACCCGUUCGCCGGAAGACCAAGGGUUCCUGUCCAACGUUAAUCGGGGCAGGGUGAGUCGGCUCCUAAGGCGAGGCUGAAAAGCGUAGUCGAUGGGAAACAGGUUAAUAUUCCUGUACUUGGUAAAGCUGCGAUGUGGGGACGGAGUAGGUUAGGUUAUCGCACUGUUGGAUAUGUGCGUUUAAGUUGGUAGGUGGGAAGUUUAGGCAAAUCCGGGCUUCCUUAACACAGAGAGAUGAUGACGAGGCUCUACGGAGCUGAAGUAACUGAUACCACACUUCCAGGAAAAGCCACUAAGCGAAAGGCUUUACUAAACCGUACUGAAAACCGACACAGGUGGUCAGGUAGAGAAUACUCAGGCGCUUGAGAGAACUCGGGUGAAGGAACUAGGCAAAAUAGCACCGUAACUUCGGGAGAAGGUGCGCCGGCGUAGAUUGUAAGGGCUAGCCCCUGAAGGUUGAACCGGUCGAAGAUACCAGCUGGCUGCAACUGUUUAUUAAAAACACAGCACUCUGCAAACACGAAAGUGGACGUAUAGGGUGUGAUGCCUGCCCGGUGCUGGAAGGUUAAUUGAUGGUGUAAUCGCAAGAGAAGCACCUGAUCGAAGCCCCAGUAAACGGCGGCCGUAACUAUAACGGUCCUAAGGUAGCGAAAUUCCUUGUCGGGUAAGUUCCGACCUGCACGAAUGGCAUAAUGAUGGCCAGGCUGUCUCCACCCGAGACUCAGUGAAAUUGAAAUCGCCGUGAAGAUGCGGUGUACCCGCGGCUAGACGGAAAGACCCCGUGAACCUUUACUAUAGCUUGACACUGAACAUUGAAUUUUGAUGUGUAGGAUAGGUGGGAGACUUAGAAGUAGUCACGCCAGUGAUUAUGGAGUCGACCUUGAAAUACCACCCUUUAACGUUUGAUGUUCUAACGAAGAUGACGAAACGUGGUCUCGGACAGUGUCUGGUGGGUAGUUUGACUGGGGCGGUCUCCUCCCAAAGCGUAACGGAGGAGCACGAAGGUUUGCUAAUCACGGUCGGACAUCGUGAGGUUAGUGCAAUGGUAUAAGCAAGCUUAACUGCGAGACAGACAAGUCGAGCAGGUACGAAAGUAGGUCAUAGUGAUCCGGUGGUUCUGAAUGGAAGGGCCAUCGCUCAACGGAUAAAAGGUACUCCGGGGAUAACAGGCUGAUACCGCCCAAGAGUUCAUAUCGACGGCGGUGUUUGGCACCUCGAUGUCGGCUCAUCACAUCCUGGGGCUGAAGUAGGUCCCAAGGGUAUGGCUGUUCGCCAUUUAAAGUGGUACGCGAGCUGGGUUUAGAACGUCGUGAGACAGUUCGGUCCCUAUCUGCCGUGGGCGUAGGAGAAUUGGUUGGGGCUGCUCCUAGUACGAGAGGACCGGAGUGGACGCACCACUGGUGUUCCGGUUGUGUCGCCAGACGCAUUGCCGGGUAGCUAAGUGCGGAAGAGAUAAGUGCUGAAAGCAUCUAAGCACGAAACUUGCCAAGAGAUGAGUUCUCCCAAUCAAAGAGAUUGUAAGGGUUGUUGUAGACUACGACGUAGAUAGGUCUGGUGUGUAAGUGUAGUGAUACAUUGAGCUAACAGAUACUAAUUGCCCGAGAGGCUUAACUAUACAACGCUCAAG
rnacentral:rRNA from 1 species